AUUGAACGCUGGCGGCAGGCCUAACACAUGCAAGUCGAGCGGAGCGGCGGACGGGUGAGUAAUGCCUAGGAAUCUGCCUGGUAGUGGGGGAUAACGUCCGGAAACGGGCGCUAAUACCGCAUACUAUCAGAUGAGCCUAGGUCGGAUUAGCUAGUUGGUGGGGUAAAGGCCUACCAAGGCGACGAUCCGUAACUGGUCUGAGAGGAUGAUCAGUCAACCUGGAACGGAGACACGGGCCAGACCCCUACGGGAGGCAGGAGGGGGGAAAAUUGGAAAAUGGGCGAAAGCCUGAUCCAGCCCAGCCGGGGUGGUUAAGAAGGGUUUGGGGUUUGAAAGCAAUUUUAGGUUGGAGGCGGUAACAACAGAAUAAGCACCGGCUAAAUUCGGGGCAGCAGCCGCGGUAAUAC
rnacentral:rRNA from 1 species